GAAUUCGCCCUUAGAGUUUGAUCCUGGCUCAGGACGAACGCUGGCGGCGCGCCUAACACAUGCAAGUCGAACGAGCGAGAGGAGGUUUACUUUCUCAAGCGAGUGGCGAACGGGUGAGUAACGCGUGAGGAACCUGCCUCAAAGAGGGGGACAACAGUUGGAAACGACUGCUAAUACCGCAUAAGCCCACGACCCGGCAUCGGGUAGAGGGAAAAGGAGCAAUCCGCUUUGAGAUGGCCUCGCGUCCGAUUAGCUAGUUGGUGAGGUAAUGGCCCACCAAGGCGACGAUCGGUAGCCGGACUGAGAGGUUGAACGGCCACAUUGGGACUGAGACACGGCCCAGACUCCUACGGGAGGCAGCAGUGGGGAAUAUUGCACAAUGGGGGAAACCCUGAUGCAGCGACGCCGCGUGGAGGAAGAAGGUCUUCGGAUUGUAAACUCCUGUUGUUGAGGAAGAUAAUGACGGUACUCAACAAGGAAGUGACGGCUAACUACGUGCCAGCAGCCGCGGUAAAACGUAGGUCACAAGCGUUGUCCGGAAUUACUGGGUGUAAAGGGAGCGCAGGCGGGAAGACAAGUUGGAAGUGAAAUCCAUGGGCUCAACCCAUGAACUGCUUUCAAAACUGUUUUUUCUUGAGUAGUGCAGAGGUAGGCGGAAUUCCCGGUGUAGCGGUGGAAUGCGUAGAUAUCGGGAGGAACACCAGUGGCGAAGGGCGGCCUACUGGGCACCAACUGACGCUGAGGCUCGAAAGUGUGGGUAGCAAACAGGAUUAGAUACCCUGGUAGUCCACACUGUAAACGAUGAUUACUAGGUGUUGGAGGAUUGACCCCUUCAGUGCCGCAGUUAACACAAUAAGUAAUCCACCUGGGGAGUACGACCGCAAGGUUGAAACUCAAAGGAAUUGACGGGGGCCCGCACAAGCAGUGGAGUAUGUGGUUUAAUUCGACGCAACGCGAAGAACCUUACCAAGUCUUGACAUCCUGCGACGGACAUAGAAAUAUGUUUUUCCUUCGGGACGCAGAGACAGGUGGUGCAUGGUUGUCGUCAGCUCGUGUCGUGAGAUGUUGGGUUAAGUCCCGCAACGAGCGCAACCCUUAUGGUCAGUUACUACGCAAGAGGACUCUGGCCAGACUGCCGUUGACAAAACGGAGGAAGGUGGGGAUGACGUCAAAUCAUCAUGCCCUUUAUGACUUGGGCUACACACGUACUACAAUGGCGUUAAACAAAGAGAAGCAAGACCGCGAGGUGGAGCAAAACUCAGAAACAACGUCCCAGUUCGGACUGCAGGCUGCAACUCGCCUGCACGAAGUCGGAAUUGCUAGUAAUCGCAGAUCAGCAUGCUGCGGUGAAUACGUUCCCGGGCCUUGCACACACCGCCCGUCA
rnacentral:rRNA from 1 species